rnacentral:lncRNA from 1 species
AGCAAUCUUCAGAGAAAUUAUAUAAUACAUCUGAAUACAUAAAUUAUAUUAAUUAAAAAAAAUAUAUGAAUACAUUCAUGGAGUACAACGAGACAGUGAAUACAAUGAAAUAUAUGAAAUACAACGAGAUACGAUGAAAUACAAUGAAAAAAAAAACAAUAAAUACAAUGAAAUAUAUGAAAAUACAGCGAGAUACAUUGAAAUAUAUUAACAGAAAAUUCAAGUUGCUCAUCCCCAAACUCCGACGUCUUUGUUCAAGAACAAACCCUAAUUUCUGUGAAUCUGCCGUCAACUAAUGGUGGCAGAAUAAGGACUCUGUUAAAGCUUGAAUCUUGUAUUGAAGAUGACGGAUAGUUGUAUUUGCGGAGGCUGGAAAGGAUUGCGUUGAUUUCCUCUUUCACAUCCUCUCAUUGCCUAUGGGCAGUGUUGUCAGGCUUCUUAAGGAGAAAGAGAUGAACGGAUGUUUGCCUAACCUCUACGGCAGCAUAGAAAAUAUGAAUGGCACCUACAUUCAAUCUAAGAAACGCAAGAACAUCCUUUUAAAACCUAACUCCCCUAGGCAUAAAUCUGAGUCGUGUAGGUUCUCAGACAAAAGCAUCCAACGGCAGCAUAGAAAAUUUGAGUCGUGUAGGUUCUCAGACAAAAACACCCAACUGUUAGGUGAGGAAGCAAUACAUCCAAGGAAAACAUUAAAGAAAAUUCAAAAAUUAAGAAAGACUCGAGAGAAUUGGAGAAAUUGGGAUCAGAGAAAACGUAGGUGAUGUGCGUGAGAGGAAUUUUGAGAUUGAGCAUCGUGUUUUCAGGGAAUGGGGGAAGAGAAUGACAUGUAUCAAAGUAGAGAGAGAAAGAAAAUAGUGUAACUGAAUAGCGUAUUUAGUGGCAUAGGGUUAGGAGGUAACCAGAAUUAGAUAUUUUGCUAUAAACAUUAAAAUGUAUCUAUAGAAUAUAAUUUUUUUAAAUGGUAUUUAUUUAAAAUAAAUAAAGUGUUAACCUUUGCUAUAGGAGUUAGGAGGUAAAUAUUCCCUUUUAAUUUCCUAAGGAGGAUACCUCAUAUUAUAUAAUUAAUACCAUGAGUAAGGUGCAUUUCUGCAUGAAAAACUGUGUCAAAAUUCUAGAUGCUCUAAAAUGUAUAUACACAAGAGUCCCACCCACCCACCCCAUACAAAGCGCUUCCCCAUUAAUGGAUCUUACAUGACAUAAAUAUGGAUUAGUCGAUGCAUUUAGAAAAAAGAUUGGCAAGGGUAUAUAUGUUGCAGCCUUGCAGGGAGGAGCUACAGUGCCGGCUAGGGGUACGGCCGAGCCCAGUAGCUUUGGUUCAAACCUUAUAUUUAUCUUUUAAAAAAUCAUUAAUUAUGUACCAAUAUUAAUUUAGAACUCAAUUAAUUAAAAGAAUUAUAAUUUCGAACCCAUAAACUUGAAAUCCUAGCUCCGCCUCUGGUAUGUUGUAACAGAACUUCCAUCUUGAGUCUAGCCUUGUAGCUCUUAGCUCGUGAACUUAGGCCAGAUUACCGAGCGAGUUGUGCCUCAUGGAGAUUUGUUACAGCGUGUAGUUUUGAAUUUAGUUGCAGUAUCAGAACAAAGCAUGACCAGCUUUAUCACUGCAAAAUUUACUAGACUAGCAAAAGUUAAGUAAAAACAACUUUUUGAAAAUAACUUUUAAAAAAACUUGAAUCGACAUGGUUUAGAAAGAAUAUUUGCAAGAAUUCAGAAGAAGAAAAAAUUCAUGGACAAAUUCCACCAAAUGACUUACUUGAAAUUACUUUGAUUUUUAGGAUUGUAGCACUUCAAGAUCUUCACAAAUCACAAACAAUGACCCUGAAACAAUUAUCAAGUUGACGUACCUUGUUCCAUAUAUGAGCGUUUUCUUUCAAAGAUGAACAAUAUGCACAAAUACGUUUUCAGUUCAUAAAGUUGGAAAAACGUGAUAUCAGUCCUUCUCUCUUCCUUCCGGCAAAGCAAUGUUAUGAUUGGUAUAGAAAAUUAUUUACAACCAAGGGUUGUGGUGAAAUCAAUAUAAUCGCUCAAUUCUUAAUCAAAAGUCUCGGAAACCAGCCUAGGACCGGGAAUGAGAAGAUCCUGGCAAGAAGCGUUUUAGCAAGAAGCAUUUCCCCUAAUUAAAUGAGUCACCGAGUCUGAAUAAGCCGGAAACUAAAUAUCGAGUGAAAAAUAAAAAAAAGAUAACGUUAUUUUAUUUUUUUUAUUUUAUUUUGGUGUGUGUUAAAGAGAGGACCUAAGUAUCUGAGUAAUUACGUUUAUCUCU